UACGUAGGGGGCAAGCGUUGUCCGGAAUCAUUGGGCGUAAAGAGCGUGUAGGCGGCCUGAUAAGUCGGUUGUGAAAGUCAAGGGCUCAACCCUUGAAUGCCGGCCGAUACUGUCAGGCUAGGCGCGAAGAGGCGAGUGGAAUUCCUGGUGUAGCGGUGAAAUGCGCAGAUAUCGGGAAGAACACCCGUGGCGAAGGCGGCUCUCUGGGACGGUACUGACGCUGAGACGCGAAAGCGUGGGGAGCGAACGGG
rnacentral:rRNA from 1 species